CCGCUAGAGUUUGAUCCUGGCUCAGGAUGAACGCUAGCGGCAGGCCUAAUACAUGCAAGUCGGACGGGAUCCAUCGGAGAGCUUGCUCAAAGAUGGUGAGAGUGGCGCACGGGUGCGUAACGCGUGAGCAACCUACCUCUAUCAGGGGGAUAGCCUCUCGAAAGAGAGAUUAGCACCGCAUAACAUCAACAGUUGGCAUGUUCGGUUGAUUAAAUAUUUAUAGGAUAGCGAUGGGCUCGCGUGACAUUAGCUAGUUGGUAGGGUAACGGCUUACCAAGGCGACGAUGUCUAGGGGCUCUGAGAGGAGAAUCCCCCACACUGGUACUGAGACACGGACCAGACUCCUACGGGAGGCAGCAGUAAGGAAUAUUGGUCAAUGGGCGGAAGCCUGAACCAGCCAUGCCGCGUGCAGGAUGACUGCCUUAUGGGUUGUAAACUGCUUUUGUCCAGGAAUAAACCCAGAUACGUGUAUCUGGCUGAAUGUACUGGAAGAAUAAGGAUCGGCUAACUCCGUGCCAGCAGCCGCGGUAAUACGGAGGAUCCGAGCGUUAUCCGGAUUUAUUGGGUUUAAAGGGUGCGUAGGCGGCCAAUUAAGUCAGGGGUGAAAUACGGUGGCUCAACCAUCGCAGUGCCUUUGAUACUGAUUGGCUUGAAUCCAUUUGAAGUGGGCGGAAUAAGACAAGUAGCGGUGAAAUGCAUAGAUAUGUCUUAGAACUCCGAUUGCGAAGGCAGCUCACUAAGCUGGUAUUGACGCUGAUGCACGAAAGCGUGGGGGAUCGAACAGGAUUAGAU
rnacentral:rRNA from 1 species